rnacentral:rRNA from 1 species
GACAGCAGUCGCCGCGGGAAUACGUAGGUGGCAAGCGUUGUCCGGAAUUAUUGGGCGUAAAGGGCUCGCAGGCGGUUUCUUAAGUCUGAUGUGAAAGCCCCCGGCUCAGCCGGGGAGGGUCAUUGGAAACUGGGAAACUUGAGUGCAGAAGAGGAGAGCGGAAUUCCACGUGUAGCGGUGAAAUGCGUAGAGAUGUGGAGGAACACCAGUGGCGAAGGCGACUCUCUGGUCUGUAACUGACGCUGAGGAGCGAAAGCGUGGGGAGCAAACCGGAUUAGAGACCCCCGUAGUCCCUGUCUCUUAUAC